CACCGCAUCGCGGAACGGCUGGGGUGGGUGCCGAAGACGGUGGUGUCAAGCAACGGGACGCCCAAGAAAAACAAGUCGCCCGAAGAUACGCGAAAGGU
rnacentral:rRNA from 2 species